GACGAACGCUGGCGGACGGGUGAGUAACGCGUGAGGAACCUGCCUUUCAGAGGGGGACAACAGUUGGAAACGACUGCUAAUACCGCAUGACACAUCGGAGUCGCAUGGCUCUGAUGUCAAAGAUUUAUCGCUGAAAGAUGGCCUCGCGUCUGAUUAGCUAGUUGGUGAGGUAACGGCCCACCAAGGCGACGAUCAGUAGCCGGACUGAGAGGUUGAACGGCCACAUUGGGACUGAGAUACGGCCCAGACUCCUACGGGAGGCAGCAGUGGGGAAUAUUGGGCAAUGGGCGCAAGCCUGACCCAGCAACGCCGCGUGAAGGAAGAAGGCUUUCGGGUUGUAAACUUCUUUUGUCAGGGACGAGUAGAAGACGGUACCUGACGAAUAAGCCACGGCUAACUACGUG
rnacentral:rRNA from 1 species